rnacentral:rRNA from 1 species
GGCAGGCCUAAUACAUGCAAGUCGAGGGGUAACAGGGUAGCAAUACCGCUGACGACCGGCGCACGGGUGCGUAACGCGUAUGCAACCUACCUUUAACUGGGGGAUAGCCCCGAGAAAUCGGGAUUAAUACCGCAUAACACUGUUUUAUGGCAUCAUAAGACAGUUAAAACUCCGGUGGUUAAAGAUGGGCAUGCGUGACAUUAGUUAGUUGGUGAGGUAACGGCUCACCAAGACUACGAUGUCUAGGGGUUCUGAGAGGAUGAUCCCCCACACUGGUACUGAGACACGGACCAGACUCCUACGGGAGGCAGCAGUAAGGAAUAUUGGUCAAUGGACGCAAGUCUGAACCAGCCAUGCCGCGUGCAGGAAGACGGCCUUAUGGGUUGUAGACUGCUUUUAUAUAGGAAUAAACUCAUGUUCGUGAACAUGACUGAAGGUACUAUAAGAAUAAGGACCGGCUAACUCCGUGCCAGCAGCCGCGGUAAUACGGAGGGUCCAAGCGUUAUCCGGAUUUAUUGGGUUUAAAGGGUGCGCAGGCGGACCUAUCAGUCAGUGGUGAAAUCUCGGGGCUCAACUCCGAAACUGCCAUUGAUACUGUAGGUCUUGAGUUUGGUUGAAGUGGGCGGAAUGUAACAUGUAGCGGUGAAAUGCAUAGAUUUGCUACAGAACACCGAUCGC